rnacentral:lncRNA from 1 species
GGGUCAUUCAACACAUAAUGCAAUAGUGAAAGAUCCAGAUAACUACAGGUCCAUCGAUCUUUGCUCUCAAUGAUUCUUCCUAGAUGGAGCUACCUGACAAACUCUGCCGGUUUUAACUUCGGCCCUCGACCCUAGCUUCGGCCACUAACAUGGGCUUGAGAUGCCAGCUUUAAGCCUUAGCCGUAGGUCUUAGCCACAA